rnacentral:rRNA from 1 species
CCCGCCCGGGUAAUACGAGCAUUAGCUUAAAACCCAAAGGACUUGGCGGUGCUUUAGACCCCCCUAGAGGAGCCUGUUCUAGAACUGAUAACCCCCGUUAAACCUCACCACCCCUUGUUUUACCCGCCUAUAUACCACCGUCGUCAGCUUACCCUGUGAAGGAAACAUAGUGAGCAUAAAUGGUAAAGCCAUAAACGUCAGGUCGAGGUGUAGCGAAUGAGGUGGGAAGAAAUGGGCUACAUUCUCUCCUA